UUUGAUUCUUGAUGUUAAUGUUGGGUCACUACUCAACUUUGAGGAACAGGAACGACACAGUCGCAACCCUCAACCUUUUGAUGAAUCUGUACUCCACACACUUCUAGACAAUUCAUUGCCUGAGACAGAUGAAUUGGACCAAUGCAAAGCGAUCAUGGUCCCCAUGGUAAGCAGGGGGCAUUGGACAUUGUAUGUUGUCAACAAGGUCAAGAAGUGCAUUCAUAUUUUAGAUUCCAACCCAUAUGGACCAACACUUGGUGGAACUACAUGGAAGGACUAUCAUUUUGCACAUUUGGGCUCAGGUGGCAGAAAGUUACCAUGGGCUAAGGUUAUUAUGAGCA